rfam:Dipodomys ordii contig_29204, whole genome shotgun sequence.
GGUGGCUCAGUGGAAGAGUGCUUGCCUUGCAUGCAAGAGGCCCUGGGUUCGAUUCCUCAGCACCA